rnacentral:misc_RNA from 1 species
GAAAUGCGAUAAGUAGUGUGAAUUGCAGAAUUCAGUGAAUCAUCGAAUCUUUGAACGCACAUUGCGCCCUUUGGCAUUCCGAAGGGCAUACCUGUUCGAGCGUCAGUUGCACAACUCAAGCACAGCUUGGUGAUGGGCGCCUGUCUCCCCGCGCUUUGCGGCGGGACUCGCCUGAAAAGCAUCGGCGUACGGCGGCGUCCAUAAGCCCCUCUCUCACGCUCUUGACCUCGGAUCAGGUAGGGAUACCCGCUGAACUUAAGC